rnacentral:rRNA from 1 species
ACUUAAAUUGAAGAGUUUGAUCAUGGCUCAGAUUGAACGCUGGCGGCAGGCCUAACACAUGCAAGUCGAACGGUAGCACAGAGGAGCUUGCUCCUUGGGUGACGAGUGGCGGACGGGUGAGUAAUGUCUGGGAAACUGCCCGAUGGAGGGGGAUAACUACUGGAAACGGUAGCUA